rnacentral:rRNA from 1 species
UACGUAGGGUGCGAGCGUUAAUCGGAAUUACUGGGCGUAAAGCGUGCGCAGGCGGCUUUGCAAGACAGAUGUGAAAUCCCCGGGCUUAACCUGGGAACUGCAUUUGUGACUGCAUGGCUGGAGUGCGGCAGAGGGGGAUGGAAUUCCGCGUGUAGCAGUGAAAUGCGUAGAUAUCUGGAGGAACACCGGUGGCGAAGGCGGCAUCCUGGACCAACACUGACACUGAGGAGCGAAAGCCAGGGGAGCAAACGGG